GGGAGGGGACGGCGGGCAGUGACACACACCGGACUGCCUGCAGAGGCUCCGGAGCUGCGCAUCUCAUUGAGGAGUGCCCUGCCCUGCCCGGAGCGCUGCGCACCGCCUGCUGCCCCAGCUGUGCCGGUUGGGAACCACGGGGAACACGCUGAGUUACACGCGUUUCCACAAAGAAAAGCCCACAAACGGUGGGUAUCCGUGUGUCGGACACAAGACGCGCCCAGACAGCAGAGGCUCAAAAGAUUAACGGACCUAAUCCUACCUCUGCGCAUCAGUGCCCAGCAGAUUCAGUGCCCAGCAGAUGACAGACACCUCGAUAGGGACGGGUGUGCACACGAAGGGCUCCCACCCGCACAGACCCCCUCCCAGCCCCGAGCCGCCCUCCCCCCAAAGCACACGGCAGGAACUCACCUGGAGGACCAGACCGGCCCCGCCUGCUUCUUGGGCUUGGCGAUCUGCUUCUGGUACUCCAUCCAGCCGCUCACCAGCUCGUGGAGGAUCAUCACGUAGAGAAGGAAAAUGAGAAUCCUGGGAUCCAUUCGCGGCACUUCGGGAUCCGCCUCAUUGGCCCCUUAGAUAUCGAAAGGAAGAGACUCUUGCCCUUCUCUAUACAGCUGCAGCCAGAUGCACAGAAGCUGGGGGUGCAGGCAGCUCCAAUUCCACAAAGACAAAUGCAGUGUGCAGGUAGGGAUGCUGAUCACGCCGUGUGUCUGUGUAGUAACCGAGCCCAAUGGCAGCAGCCACAGCCCAGGCAAACACACAGCCCGAAGCAUCGCGCGGCUCUCCCUCUGCUAACUGAUGUUUCAUUAAUGAGUUCAGAAGUGCUGAGUAACUCCGGAUUGGGAGCAGCAGAACUCGCAGAUGGAGUGAGAGAGUGAAUGAAAGAUGGGAAUGUUGGGGCUCUGCACAAAAGCGGAGCCGUGUUCCUAUGGCAACAGAGGCAGUUGCCAGGCGGCAGGAGAUGGUCUGAUGGUGGUACCAAUCAUACAGGAGGGCUUUUAGUCUAAAGACAACACCGAUGUGUUCUACAUAUGCAGUUCUUAAUGAGUAAGGGCAGCGUGACUCCUUUGUUCCUAUGAGCAGCACUUUGCACAGAAUCAAAGAGAGAAAUUACACGGGCAAGGCAGGCAGAGCAACACAUAGCAGCUUAAUCCUGGUUUUAUGCCAGGGGCUCCAACUGGUGAAUACAAAAUCAUUAACAAAUAAUCUUCUUGUUGCCGUACGUGACAGCUGGAUCGAUUGCUGCUCCUCCCAAAGCCCCACAGCUGCAGCAUUAACCACCCUACCUCUGCCCUUUGUCAUCCUCAGCCUCCAUGCAAACACUGCCUACAUCUGCAACGCCUCUUAAGUCCUUAAGCAGUUACCUGAGCCCUCUCACACAAUUCUAGCCCUGAAAACGUCACUAAUCUAUGCUUAAUGAGACAUAAGGUAGAAAGCCAGCAAGCCCUGAGCUAUUGCCAGGGCUGACAGCUCGUAUUGUGGCAACUGAUGUCCAAACAGUGACUACUCACAAGCUGGGAGCUCUUUCACUAAUGAUUAAAAAAAAUAAUAAUCAGUGAAUUGCUAUGAGCAGUCUGAUCAGCUCUACCGAAAGCUGUGGUUGCUCUUGUUCCAAAGAAACGUGUAUGGAAAUGAAACGUUCUUCCCUCGAUCUGCUUCACCCUGCCACGAGGAGCAGGAUGUCAGUGUUUGCCAAGGAUCACGCGUAGGACUGGGUGUGAAUUCUUGCUGCUAAAUACAUGGGGAGGGAAGCACCGUGCCUGACUGAUGCGUGUCGGUGUCAAUCUGGGUUGGCUUUAUUUGGGAAGCAGAAAGAUCCCACUUCAGAUCCUGCCAACACCCCCUGAGCUGCCGGUCACGGGGCAGGCAGCAGUGUGCUGGGAACUCCAAAGGGAGGCAGUAAAUGUCAGCUGGGCAACUGCACGCAGUGAGAGCCAGCAGCACCAGGCAGACGUGCAAUGAAGUGUGCAUGCAUGACUGCAUGACUACCAGGUAACACAGACACCUGUGUGCUGAAGCACCCCUUACCUGCAGACUGCCAUUUGCUCGAGUUGCCCACUGCUCUGCAAGUGUUCUGAUGAAGAGCCAGCACUCCUCGGAUGCAUCUUCUCUCCAUCCCCGCUGCUUUCUGACAGCUGUUUGUACAAAAAUGACAAGUAGGUCAAAUCUGGAUAAAGGCUGCAUGAAAGAACUGUCACGGUAGAAGCCGUUCCCCAAGGCUGAGCUGAGGUCUGCUAUUCUUUUGCAAAAGCAGGAUGGAAAUGAGGCCGGUCUCCUCCAUCCAACACACUCAAUCCAGCCGGUUGUGCUGGAAGAAAAUCCUGAAUAGCUGAGCCACCUGCAUGUCUCAACCUGGAUUAGGGCAGAGCAUUCGGCACUGUCCCACAGUACGUCCACAGCUCCAAACUGGAGAGAUAUGGAUGUGAUGGACUGCUUGGUGGGCGAGGAUUUGGAUGGACAGUUGCACUGGGAGAGUUGUGGUCAAUGACAGUUCAGGUCUCUACAGUGCAGGUGGAGUCACUGUCCCUGAAGUGCUCAGGAACUGUGCAGAUGUGGGCAGCACUGGUGGUAGGUAGACAGGUUGAUUAUUCGAUCUUUAGAGGUCUUUUCCAACCUCAGUGAUUCUAUGGCUCUAAAGAGGUGUUUUUAAGAAAGCUGGUAGGUAUCAGUUACCUUUCAUAUUCAUCACAGCCCCAAGGGCAUGUUGCAACACCAAGGAUUGCCCUCGUUCAAGCUUCUUGGAAGCACCAUCACCCCAUUCUUCCACUUGGAAGCUGGCAUAGCUGAAUAACAACCUGGCAAACCCACCCUUCCUCAAGUUGAGCUCACAGAACCUCAAAAGGGCAGCAGAGAAAGGCAGCAAUAAUUGCUUUGGGACCAUAAAUCGGGGUUAAUCCGCACAUCUGACUGAUCACAGCGAUUGGCUUUUUGGAAGGAUCUUUUGAGCCUCCCUGGGAAGAGACAAAGAGCUUCCUGCACCUCCACACACACCGCAGCCAAAGCCCACGAGCACAGCGCUGCCAGGACGGGUGAGGAAGGAACACGGAUCCCUCCUCUGCCCCUUGGCCUCUCCUCAAGGAAGCUGCCUGUAAGAAGUCCUCGCUAAUUACCCGAUUGCUCACUAGAGAUUAAGCAGAGAACACAGCGCAGGUAACAAAUCAGGCCGUGACCUACUGGAUGGGAUGUUUUGUUGUUGCUCCAAUGACAUCAUUUCACCAGUCCCUAAUGGCUUUGGCCCAGUGACCCCGACACCCCGACUGAGGCUUCAAGUGCAUUUUGGGGAAUAAACUUCACCAUCUCCUUCCUCUCAUACACAUGCAGUGCUUCCUUCUGAGCUCAGAGGACAUCCAACAGAGCUGGAACAGAGGGGAGGGGGGCAAACACGACUAGAACCAGGGCCAGGGCAACACAACUCAGCCAAAAGGGUUUUCAGAGUUAAAAAGAGCACCACCCCAUUUGUCAGCAUCUUCCACAGCCUUAACAGAAGACAAACAGAUGCUCUGAGACAGAUUUCUUCCCAAGAUUUUUCAUUGCUCCUACCUAUACAAGUGCUCGAACAAACGCUGAUAAAAACCUUGUGUUCUGAGUCACCAGAUUGCUUUGUAUGCUAAUGACUCAUCAGCAGGAUUUAUUAACAUUCCACCACUUACACGUUCUGUCAACCUGAUCAGCCAACACAGCUUCGGUACAGCACGUGGAUGCUAAAGGAAAGAGAAACAAAACACAGAACUCCAAAAUAACCCUCUCUUGAGCUCUGGACUUCUUUUCUAUGACAACAGGGGAACCCGAAGCAGCUCUGUUGGACUCGAGGACAGACACAGGAAUCAUCUUUCUUGUUCCCUUGCCACAGAACUGACACCCACGGGACCUGGAGAACAAGGGGAAGACACCGAUGCUCACUUGUGGGGUGCUGCUUAAUGCAGACUGCAGAGGCUGUCCAGGAAGGGCUCAGAUAGCAGCAAACACGGAGCUGAAACCCUGCCUGAGGAGUGCUCUGCACAGCGACCUGCACUGCGUGGAGCUGCCCUCCAUUCCUGCCUUACACCCACCUGGAGCUAUCGAUAUUGCAAGAAGCCAUCCCUAUCACCCCACGUCACACAGAGCUCUCCCCACCUCUGGGAGGGCUCCAGCACAGCUAUAGGCACAGCUCUGCCCCACACAGCCCUGGUGCUGCCCUUUGGCCAAGGCACAACGCAGGGUAAGGGGGUAAGUCACAUUUAGAGCACUCAGGUACCUCUUUGUAUACCCAGCAGUCUUCCCCCCACCAGAACUAACCCGUAGGAGACUGUGAAGCCCAAACCAUCUAGCAGCUCCAGCAGCAGCAUCUUGGAGAGGGAUAACUGCAGUUUCUGCUGCAUGGCAUCUGCUCCAGGCUGUGUCACUCAGCCAAACGCCCAGCUCCCUCCCAGCCUUCUGCACCACAACCCACCACUCCCGACCACCCUUCGAAGUGCCCGCGGCAGUGAGGCAGAACGGAGUGUUCUGCCAGCAAGCAGAGGCUGUCAGCAUUCAGACACACAAAGAUGCACAGCUCGAAUUGCUGGGUCCCCACCUCUUCUUAUCCUUGGAGCCGCAGCCUGACAGAGCCCACCCUUACAAUGGUCCCAGCUGUGUGUUCUGUGGGACUAUGUGGGAAAUGGGAUUGGAAAGCCAAAGUUGGCAGGCAGUGCUCUCCAGGAGGUUGGUUUCACAACUGUUCUUUACCACCAGCUGAGGUUUAAUCCAGAAAUGCAGGACGUAACUCCAGCACUGACAGCUGUCAGAAUACAGCCCUCUUUUUGAACAAUAAGCUUCCUUUCAUGGGAGGUAAAUGAUGCAAUGGAGUUGCUCCCAUCUGAAUUUUCUUUUAGAGUUCUGUUGAAGGCACUGGUGAACAUUCUCUGUCCCUCACCAAAGCGCCAGGGUUUCAAUGCCUGAAUUGGAAGGAUCUCCAUGGAAAUCGGGAGCUUUCCUACUAAGGACCAUAGUGGAACAUCUACUACAGCACCUGGCAAAACGCUCCGGUUCUUUCAGAUCACGUUCCAGCCCAGAGGGACUUUUGGUAGAUGUUGCCCAGGCACUGAAACGGCAUCAGCAAGAACCACAUUUUCUUCCUGACUGCCAGGUCUUCAAGUCAGUGCUGGUCAGGGAAGGGCAUGUCCGUCCCCCAAAAGAGCAGUAAUCAGGCAGAGGUAUUACCCCAGCCACAGGGAGAUCCAGAGAAGCAGGACACCAAGGGGGGAGGAAGGCAAGGAAGGGCAUGUGCAGAAGCAGCAGCACAGACCCAGCCCAACACCAGCAUGCCCAGGUGCUGCAGGUACUGCUACAGCAGAGGGGGUAGUGAAGAACACAGCACAUAAAUCCAACAGGUGCUUCCCGGUGGUACCGAAAUCAUUAAGAUCAGAAAAUACAAUUAUUUGAAGUUUUAAAUGCUUGCAAGAGGGGAUUCUGUGAUUUGUAUUUAUCAUUAGCUUUUCUUACCAGUCUCAUUUCAGUGUAUUUUCAUACCUGGUGCUGGUCAGGAAUGUGCCUGGGACAGCGAGACACAGAGCCUUCCUGCAGGAACUGCUGGGAUGGGGCAGAGGAACAUUUCCUUCUAAGCCCAAUGCUGGGCUCCUUACUUUGGCCCCAGAUCAGACAUACAGGACUUCAAGGGUGAGGUUCAGCACGGUGUGAGUCCCCCCUUCAUUUCUGCAAGACCAGGCCAGAUAUGCAAUGUGCAAGCAGACCAACCUCUUCUAACUCAAGCAUCUUCCAAGUGAAACCAGUGGCAGCUUUCCUUUAGGCCGCUGUAUAGAGAGGUGACCAGGAAUCACCUAAAAACAUUCCGACAAAACAGCACGACUCACAACAACCACUGCAUAUCCAGGAGGUCUUCACGUUCUUUCUGUCCAAGCAGAUUUGUUCAGCCUCUUUUUACCUCAGUCCACAAAGAGAUUUCCUUCACCAAAUCAUCGUGUGAGGCAGAAUCUGGAUGAUGUGAACUGAUGCCAUGCCAUGCUUUUGGGGUCAGGUCCUUCAGCAGUAAAUUGUACUUCACCAUAGUAAAUCCAUAGUAAAUGUUUUUUCCAGCAAUUCUGUGUAACCCAGACCUGAUUCUCCUGCUAGCAUUGGCCUCAGUAACUGAAUUUGGGAGCUACUGCUGUCAACUACAAUGCUGCAGUUACAGUGCUCUGUCAAUCUGCUGAUGUACCUCAAUUCAAAUGAGCUGCUUCAAAGUUCAGCAUAACAUUUCAGUCAAAUGUUAACCAUCCAAAAAGCCUGGAGAACCUCUCAGGGCUCUUAGUUACUGUGAUCUCUCUGGAAAAACACACAGAGAGGACCAGAUUGCUCAAGCUAAUUAGAAUUCAUUGUAAAAACUCAUCCCUGAGUCAGACGCAGCAGGUUUGGAAAGAAUACACCAUUUUCCCAUACCACAGGUAUCGCAUCCCCGCUGUAAAGACAAACUGCAACAUGAGUGUAAACAGAGGGCAGGCAGCUCCAGCUCCAUGCUCCGUGCCAGCUGGGAGCGAGUUCAGGCAGCAGUGUGCUCGGAGCAGGGCAGUCAGUGGUGCACUACCCUCUAGUGUGCACCGAUAGCACUGCAUGCAGCUUGCGACCUGCACUGCACCUCACAGCCAGUUACAAAGGACUGCAUAAGGGGGCAUUAAGAAAAGGCAAAGAGGAAAAAAAAAAUCCAGUAAUUCUUUUACACAGUUCGGCUGUACUUCACCCGGCAGUUACACCACAGCACAGUGUGAUCUGACACAAAAGCAUCGGUCUGUAUAAUUGCUGGAGUCAAACCAUUCUCAUCUCUAAGAAUGCCAACAGACUGAGACGGUCACUUCCACAAAGAAGUAUUUUCUGAGAGGUGUUUCUGCUAAUUUAUCACAUCUUCUCACAAGAAAACAAGUCAAGAGAGUGCAGAGUGGCAGCUGUUCCCAUUCUCCCCUGCCCACAUAUCUCCUCUCAGCUGAAGCAACAACCAGCACAGGUAAUCAUCAGUACGUGCCCCACGACUCAAUUUCUUUCUGCCAUCUUUGUAGAUCUUAAAGGCUGGGAAAAGAAAAUCCCCAGCACUGUUGACACA